rnacentral:tRNA from 1 species
CAUUAAGAAGCUAUGAAACAGCGCUAGCCUUUUAAGCUGGAGGAAGAGAGUCCUACUCCCUCCUUAAUGG